rnacentral:snRNA from 1 species
AUAUUUACCUAGCAAGAGAGCUACCAUCAUUACAAAAGUGGUUUUCCCAGGGCAAGGCUCAUCCAUUGCACUCUGGAUGUGCUGACCCCUGUGAUUUCUCCAUAUGUGGGAAACUCGACUGACUCAGAU